rnacentral:lncRNA from 1 species
CUUCCAUUAAGGGUAUACGUUGCUUGUGCAUUCUUUACCCCGAAGUGCAUAACUUUGCAUUUUUCAACAUUACAUUUCAUCUGCCAUUUGAGUGCCCAGUCUCCCAGUAUAUCUAAAUCCCUCUGCAGCAAAGUAAUAUCUUGCUCACAUUGUGUUACUUUACAGAGUUUUGUGUCAUCUGCAAACACUGAAACAUGACUUUCAAUGCUUUUUUCACGAUCGUUUAUAAACAUGUUAAAUAGAAGGGGUCCCAGAAUAGAACCCUGAGGGACACCACUUGCCACCUCUGUCCAGCUUGAAAAUCUACCAUUAAUGACAACUCUUUGUACUCUAUUUUUAAGACCAUGUUCUACCCAAGAACAAGCAUUUUCAUCUAGACCGAUUUCCUUGAGUUUGAACACUAAUCUAUUGUGUGGAACUGUAUCAAAUGCCUUGGCAAAAUCCAAAUAGAUCACAUCCAUUGCAACAUCCUGAUCUACUUACUUCUUCAUAGAACGCAAUCAAGUUCGUUUGACAUGACCUGUGCUUCAUAAAACCAUGCUGAUUUUUGCUGAUAACCAUGUUCUUCUCGAGGAAUUCGUGAAUAUUAUCCCUUAAUAACCUUUCAAAUAUUUUCCCAGCCACAGAAGUUAAGCUCACAGGUCUAUAAUUUCCA